CCGGCACGGGUGAGUAACACGUAUCCAACCUGCCGUCUACUCUUGGCCAGCCUUCUGAAAGGACGAUUAAUCCAGGAUGGCAUCAUGAGUUCACAUGUCCGCAUGAUUAAAGGUAUUUUCCGGUAGACGAUGGGGAUGCGUUCCAUUAGAUAGUAGGCGGGGUAACGGCCCACCUAGUCAACGAUGGAUAGGGGUUCUGAGAGGAAGGUCCCCCACAUUGGAACUGAGACACGGUCCAA
rnacentral:rRNA from 1 species